rnacentral:SRP_RNA from 1 species
GCCGGGCGCGGUGGCGCGUGCCUGUAGUCCCAGGUACUCGGGAGGCUGAGGUGGGAGGAUCACUUGAGCCCAGGAGUUCUGGGCCGCAGUACGCUAUGCCGAUCGGGUGUCCGCACUAAGUUCGGCAUCAAUAUAGUGACCUCCCGGGAGCGGGGGACCACCAGGUUGCCUAAGGAGGGGUGAACCGGCCCAGCUCGGAAACGGAGCAGGUCAAAACUCCCGUUCUGAUCAGUAGUGGGAUCGCGCCUGUGAAUAGCCACUGCACUCCAGCCUGGGCAACAUAGCGAGACCCUGUCUCUU